rnacentral:tRNA from 1 species
AAGGAUUUAAGUUAAACUUAAACUAAUAACCUUCAAAGUUGUAAAUAGACUUUUCUCUAAGCCUUA